rnacentral:tRNA from 1 species
GCCCGGGUAGCCCAACGGUAGGAGGCACCUGACUUAGGAUCAGGCCAGUGCACGUUCGAAUCGUGUCCCGGGUA